rnacentral:rRNA from 1 species
GACGAACGCUGGCGGCGUGCUUAACACAUGCAAGUCGAACGGAAAGGCCUGCUUUCCCUUGUGGAUUGCGGGUACUCGAGUGGCGAACGGGUGAGUAACACGUGAGUGAUCUGCCCCCAACUUGGGUAUAAGCCUGGGAAACUGGGUCUAAUUCCCGAUAGGACUGCAGGGUGGUGCCCGUGGUGGAAAACGAUUUUCUAGUGGUUGGGGAUGAGCUCGCGGCCUAUCAGCUUGUUGGUGGGGUAAUGGCCUACCAAGGCGGCGACGGGUAGCCGGCCUGGGAGGGUGGACGGCCACAUUGGGACUGGGAUACGGCCCAGACUCCUACGGGAGGCAGCAGUGGGGAAUAGUGCACAAUGGGCGGAAGCCUGAUGCAGCGACGCCGCGUGGGGGAUGACGGCCUUCGGGUUGUAAACUCCUUUCGACCGCGAGGAAGCCACCUGGUUGGAAGGGUGGUGACGGUAGUGGUAGAAGAAGCACCGGCUAACUACGUG